CCUAUACCGUUACGGUAUAGGGACGUUCCGAUACCACCGAUACAAGUAGAGUAUCGAUACUUUUUUUUCUUUCGAUACAAGUAGUGUUUGUGUCGAUACCAUGGUUUCGAUACUUUACUCAUAUCGAUAAAAAAAAAGUACUGGUAUCGAAUCAUUCAUACAAUCUAACCGCCAUCGGUUUAAAAAAUACUCGGACGGGAUCGAACAAUUGUUUUCGUUCAUUCUUUGUCUAGUGCCGAGUGCGACCACUCAUCUACUAUUACGUACUGUUCCAAUAAUUUCAUAUUUACGAUGCCGCCUCCGAUGGGUAAGCGCUCGAUGUAUUUUAGAAAAGUGGACAAAUUAAUCGCACAAUGCAAAAUUUGCUCUCAAAGUGUAAAAUAUUGUGGAAACAGUUUCUCGCUUAAACAGAUUAUUGCUCUUGGCAGAUCUAACCCGAAGAUCAAUGGUUUCGAGUUAUAAAUAAUUUUUGAAUAAUAAUAAAAUAUUAUUAAAUAAUUUGUAUUUUGUAUUGUAUUAAAAUAUUUAUUUUUUUUUCGAUACCUAUUUGUUAAUUGGAAUUACCCAUAAUAAACAUGAG